AUUAAACGCUGGCGGCAUGCCUUACACAUGCAAGUCGAACGGCAGCACGGGGGCAACCCUGGUGGCGAGUGGCGGACGGGUGAGUAAAGCAUCGGAACGUAUCCUGGAGUGGGGGAUAACGUAGCGAAAGUUACGCUAAUACCGCAUAUUCUGUGAGCAGGAAAGCAGGGGAUCGCAAGACCUUGCGCUCUGGGAGCGGCCGAUGUCGGAUUAGCUAGUUGGUGGGGUAAAGGCCUACCAAGGCGACGAUCCGUAGCGGGUCUGAGAGGAUGAUCCGCCACACUGGGACUGAGACACGGCCCAGACUCCUACGGGAGGCAGCAGUGGGGAAUAUUGGACAAUGGGCGCAAGCCUGAUCCAGCAAUGCCGCGUGUGUGAAGAAGGCCUGCGGGUUGUAAAGCACUUUCAGUGGGGAAGAACGGAUACGGGCCAAUACCCCGCAUCACUGACGUUACCCACAGAAGAAGCACCGGCUAACUCCGUGCCAGCAGCCGCGGU
rnacentral:rRNA from 1 species